rnacentral:rRNA from 1 species
AUUCAGUCUCCGGACGAUCGCGGAGCCGGCGGCGUCAGGUAAACGGUCCCCUUCGGGGGACUGUUCCGGCUGCUGGCACGCAGACGCGGUCUCCGGGGUGCGCACUUCCCACCGCCGGUAGGACGCCGCGACGGACGCGGGUAAAGGGAACAGCGCACGACUUUGAGUCCGGCAGUGGAGGUGACCUGCCCGUCUCUUCGGAGACGGCACACGGGCGUUAUACCACGCCGUGCACGAAAAGUUCGUCACCCCGUCCAGGCCCCAUGGGCUUCUCCCGGUUGUCGGGAGGCCCGAACGAUGACGCCCUCCGGAAACGGAGCGGAGAACCCGCUGGGCAAGCUUGUCGUCUCCUGCUGUCCGGGUUGGUCCCGCGGCGGCGGGUUGGCCGGCGAGAAGCCUCUGCGAGCGGGGCUAUUCUCCCGCGGAGGCGCUAUCGUGGUUUGCGGCGAGUAGGUCGGUAACCCACCCGACCCGUCUUGAAACACGGACCAAGGAGUCUAACAUGUGCGCGAGUCAAUGGGUCUCCCGAAACCCAAUGGCGCAAUGAAACGUGAAGGCCCCUAGCGGGCUGCGUUGCGAUCCCGGACCACAGGGGUCCGAUAAAGGGCGCAGCAACGGCCCGUCCCAGGCGCUCACACGUCGCCGGGGCGGAGCGAGAGCGCACACGUUGGCACCCGAAAGAUGGUGAACUAUGCCCGGGCAGGACGAGGCCAGAGGAAACUCUGGUGGAGGUCCGAAGCGAUUCUGACGUGCAAAUCGAUCGUCCGAUCCGGGUAUAGGGGCGAAAGACCAAUCGAACCAUCUAGUAGCUGGUUCCCUCCGAAGUUUCCCUCAGGAUAGCUGGCGCUCGAUGGGAGAGCAGUCACACCUGGUAAAGCGAAUGAUUAGAGGCAUUGGGGUCGAAACGUCCUCAACCUAUUCUCAAACUUUCAAUGGGUGUACGGGAGGCCUUCUGGGUUGAGGCCUCCCGCUGCGAUGAGAGUGCCAAGUGGGCCACUUUUGGUAAGCAGAACUGGCGCUGUGGGAUGAACCAAACGCCGGGGUAAGGCGCCCGAGUCGGGACGCUCAUGAGAACCCAUGAAGGGUGUUGGUUGCUUAAGACAGCAGGACGGUGGCCAUGGAAGUCGGAAUCCGCUAAGGAGUGUGUAACAACUCUGCCGAAGCAACUAGCCCCGAAAAUGGAUGGCGCUCUAGCGUCGCGCCUAUCCCCGGCCGUCGCUGGCAGAAAAGCACGAAAUGUGGGGGUGCUAAGCCGCGACGAGUAGGAGGGCCGCAGCGGUGUGCGUUGAAGGUGUCGGGCGUGAGCCCGCCUGGAGCCGCCGCUGGUGCAGAUCUUGGUGGUAGUAGCAAAUACUCAAGUGAGAACCUUGAGGACUGAAGUGGAGAAGGGUUCCAUGUGAACAGCAGUUGAACAUGGGUCAGUCGGUCCUUAGGGAAAGGAGAAAUCCUUUCAGAAGCGGGCGCGUUUGUGCAGCUCAGUCUGUGAUACGGAGACGCCCCGCUGCAACCAAAAGGGAAUCGGGUUAACAGUCCCGAACCCGGCUACGGAGAUCGGCUCUUCGGAGCCCAGUGCGGCAACGCAAACCAGCUCGGAGACGCCGAUGGGAGCCCCGGGAAGAGUUUUCUUUUCUCUGUAAGGAGAUCGAGUCCCUGGAAUGGGUUCACCCCGAGAUAGGGACGGUGGCUCCGUAGAGCAGUGCGGCUCUUGCGCUGUCCGGUGCGCUCCUGUCGGCCCUUGAAAAUCCGAGUGAGGGAGUGUGAUUUUCGUGCCGGACCGUACCCACAUCCGCAGCAGGUCUCCAAGGUGAACAGCCUCUAGUCGAUAGACCAAUGUAGGUAAGGGAAGUCGGCAAAACGGAUCCGUAACCUUGGGAAAAGGAUUGGCUCUCUGAGGGCUGAGCCGGUCGGGCUGGGGUCCAGAAGCAGGAACGGCACUGCACCGGGACUGGGCGAGGCUCGCCGCCGUAAAAAGCGGUGCGGCCGAGCCCGGACCAGCGUCGGGACCUUCCUGUGGAAAGCCACAGCUGUGCAUUUUCCGUGGGCUUCGCGCCUGAGGUUCUUGCUUCGGCCGGCAGAAAACAGCCAACUCAGAACUGGCACGGACCGGGGGAAUCCGACUGUCUAAUUAAAACAAAGCAUUGCGAGGGCCGUUGAUCGGUGCUGACGCAAUGUGAUUUCUCCCAGCUGGAAUGUCAAAGUGAGAAGAAAUUCAAAAAAGCGCGGGUAAACGGCGGGAGUAACUAUGACUCUCUUGUGUUUUUAGCCAAAUGCCUCGUAUCUAGUUGGUGACGCGCAAGGGUGGAUUGACGGGAUUCUCACUGACCCUAUCUACUUUAAUUCCAAACACAUACAUAAUGUAAGAGCCUGGACAGUGGUGAGGAAGCCGUUAACAGGAUAAAAUCAAUAUAAACAAAGGACUCUACCUAGACAUCGUGAUUCAGACCCCAAGACACCACAUAAUAAAGAACAACAACAAGACAACAAGAAAGAUCAUCAAAUCUACCUGAAGACCUACGACACAAGAUACAACAGAAGAAGAAUUGUUCGUCAAGAUGCAAGAAAUAUUGAAUGUAAACUAAUUCGGAUUGGAACAAGAAGAUUGUUAAUCAAGAUGAAGAUGAAGACUAUAAACAACAUGUAUAUUACCUACUUUUGUAUACAAAAUAAAUAAAUACCCUGAGUUUGCCGGUCGGUCCCUUCGGCCUUCCUUCCGCUGGUGGUAGUAGUCCCCUUUUUCUUUUCUUUUUUCUCUUCUCUUCUUUAUUUUUCAUUCUCAAAAUUAUUAUCAUUUUUUUUUUUUUUCAAAUUCGGCAGCCUGCGAUACUCCAGCGUGCCAGCAGGGCAGAGGCAUAAAACUUUAUGUUCUUUUAAAGGUAAGUUUAA